rnacentral:rRNA from 1 species
CCUACGGGUGGCAGCAGUGGGGAAUCUUGCGCAAUGGGCGAAAGCCUGACGCAGCAACGCCGCGUGUGUGAUGAAGGUCUUCGGAUCGUAAAGCACUGUCGGCAGGAACGAAGGUUUGCAACAGUAAUAUGGUUGCAGAUUGACGGUACCUGCAAAGGAAGCACCGGCUAACUCUGUGCCAGCAGCCGCGGUAAUACAGAGGGUGCAAGCGUUGUUCGGAAUCAUUGGGCGUAAAGCGCUCGUAGGCGGCAUUGCAAGUCAGGUGUGAAAGCCUGGGGCUCAACCCCAGAAGUGCACUUGAAACUGCAGUGCUUGAGUCUUGGAGAGGGCAGUGGAAUUCCGAGUGUAGAGGUGAAAUUCGUAGAUAUUCGGAGGAACACCAGUGGCGAAGGCGACUGCCUGGACAAAGACUGACGCUGAGGAGCGAAAGCGUGGGGAGC